ACGGAGGGUGCAAGCGUUGAUCGGAAUUACUGGGCGUAAAGCGUGCGCAGGCGGUUUUGUAAGUCAGAGGUGAAAUACCCCGGCUUAACCUGGGAACUGCCUUUGAGACUUCAUAACUGGAGUGCGGGAGAGGGGGACGGAAUUCCCGGUGUAGAAGUGAAAUUCGUAGAUAUCCGGAGGAACACCAGUGGCGAAGGCGAUUCCCUGGGCUGGCACUGACGCUCAGGCGCGAAAGCGUGGGGAGCAAACAG
rnacentral:rRNA from 1 species